CCUACGGGAGGCUGCAGUGGGGAAUAUUGCACAAUGGAGGAAACUCUGAUGCAGCGACGUCGCGUGAACGAUGAAGGCUUUCGGGUCGUAAAGUUUUGUCCUUGGGGAAGAUUAUGACGGUACCCGAGGAGGAAGCCCCGGCUAACUACGUGCCAGCAGCCGCGGUAAUACGUAGGGGGCGAGCGUUGUCCGGAUUUAUUGGGCGUAAAGGGUUCGCAGGUGGCCUUUUAAGUCAGAUGUGAAAGAUCACAGCUCAACUGUGGUAAGCAUUUGAAACUGAAAGGCUUGAGUUAAGGAGAGGAAAGUGGAAUUCCUAGUGUAGCGGUGAAAUGCGUAGAUAUUAGGAGGAAUACCAGUGGCGAAGGCGACUUUCUGGACUUAUACUGACACUGAGGAACGAAAGCGUGGGGAGCAAACAGGAUUAGAUACCCCAGUAGUC
rnacentral:rRNA from 1 species